rnacentral:tRNA from 1 species
GCGGGCGUGGUGGAACUGGUAGACACACUGGAUUUAGGUUCCAGCGGCGCAAGCCAUGGGGGUUCGAAUCCCUUCGCCCGCACCA